rnacentral:rRNA from 1 species
AUGAACGCUGGCGGCGUGCUUAACACAUGCAAGUCGAACGAAGCACUUAUCUUUGAUUCUUCGGAUGAAGAGGUUUGUGACUGAGUGGCGGACGGGUGAGUAACGCGUGGGUAACCUGCCUCAUACAGGGGGAUAACAGUUAGAAAUGACUGCUAAUACCGCAUAAGACCACGGAGCUGCAUGGCUCAAUGGGAAAAACUCCGGUGGUAUGAGAUGGACCCGCGUCUGAUUAGGUAGUUGGUGGGGUAACGGCCUACCAAGCCGACGAUCAGUAGCCGACCUGAGAGGGUGACCGGCCACAUUGGGACUGAGACACGGCCCAAACUCCUACGGGAGGCAGCAGUGGGGAAUAUUGCACAAUGGGGGAAACCCUGAUGCAGCGACGCCGCGUGAGCGAAGAAGUAUUUCGGUAUGUAAAGCUCUAUCAGCAGGGAAGAAAAUGACGGUACCUGACUAAGAAGCACCGGCUAAAUACGUGCCAGCAGCCGCGGUAAUACGUAUGGUGCAAGCGUUAUCCGGAUUUACUGGGUGUAAAGGGAGCGUAGACGGCUGUGUAAGUCUGAAGUGAAAGCCCGGGGCUCAACCCCGGGACUGCUUUGGAAACUAUGCAGCUAGAGUGUCGGAGAGGUAAGUGGAAUUCCCAGUGUAGCGGUGAAAUGCGUAGAUAUUGGGAGGAACACCAGUGGCGAAGGCGGCUUACUGGACGAUGACUGACGUUGAGGCUCGAAAGCGUGGGGAGCAAACAGGAUUAGAUACCCUGGUAGUCCACGCCGUAAACGAUGACUACUAGGUGUCGGGGAGCAAAGCUCUUCGGUGCCGCAGCAAACGCAAUAAGUAGUCCACCUGGGGAGUACGUUCGCAAGAAUGAAACUCAAAGGAAUUGACGGGGGCCCGCACAAGCAGUGGAGUAUGUGGUUUAAUUCGACGCAACGCGAAGAACCUUACCAGGGCUUGACAUAUAAGUGAAUAAUUAAGAGAUUAAUUAGCUCUUCGGAGCACUUAUACAGGUGGUGCAUGGUUGUCGUCAGCUCGUGUCGUGAGAUGUUGGGUUAAGUCCCGCAACGAGCGCAACCCUUAUCUUCAGUAGCCAGCAAUUCGGAUGGGCACUCUGGAGAGACUGCCAGGGAUAACCUGGAGGAAGGUGGGGAUGACGUCAAAUCAUCAUGCCCCUUAUGAGCAGGGCUACACACGUGCUACAAUGGCGUAAACAAAGGGAAGCGAGCCUGCGAGGGUAAGCAAAUCUCAAAAAUAACGUCUCAGUUCGGAUUGUAGUCUGCAACUCGACUACAUGAAGCUGGAAUCGCUAGUAAUCGCGAAUCAGCAUGUCGCGGUGAAUACGUUCCCGGGUCUUGUACACACCGCCCGUCACACCAUGGGAGUUGGUAACGCCCGAAGUCAGUGACCCAACCGUAAGGAGGGAGCUGCCGAAGGUGGGACCGAUAACUGGGGUG